UAAGCAUUUAGAAAUAUUGAUCUCAAAUAGAAACCUGCAAAAUAAUUCAAUUACAUUUCUUUGACAAAUGAGUCUGCAUGGAAAUGGUUUCUUUUGGAAGGGGAAGGACAGGAAAUAUUUGUUGUGUUCCGGGGCUCUCUGUCCUAUUGGUGGGGUUGCCUGCGCGCCGUUCUACAUAUUACCACCAGAAGGCGACAGGUUUCGGAUGGAGCGCGGUGACGUCAUCAUUUUCCCCAGCUGUUCCCGAUCACCUUCAUCAGCGGAGCAGUCAUAGGAGUGGGCCGUCAGUCCAACGUCGCCUGAGUGUUGUGCCAGUCACGGUUGCCCGAGUUCCCAGACUCACCUCUCUGCUGUUUGCAAAUCUCCUCUGGACUCCACGGCUGGCGGCCGUUCCACUCCUCCGUGUCUCCGUUUCACCCGAGCCUACCUGUCCGCUCCCCGCCGCACUCCUCCGCUGUCCCUGGAUCCAUUAGGGACCGAGACCCCGGACAAACCCAGUUUCCCUCCACAACUCUGCUCCAACAACCACAAUGAACUGUUGCUACCAUUACUGUUUAUUCCCCUGGACCAGACCACCCCGACUCUCUCUCUUUGAUUAUUGUGUGAUCUUUAAUAAAUCAUUUAAAACUGA